rnacentral:rRNA from 1 species
UGGUGGAGUGAUUUGUCUGGUUAAUUCCGAUAACGAACGAGAUCUUAACCUGCUAAAUAGCUGGAAGAAGGUUUCUUCUUCCCUGGCUUCUUAGAGGGACUUUGUGGUCUAAACAUGAGGAAGUUUGAGGCAAUAACA